rnacentral:rRNA from 1 species
GACAAACGCUGGCGGCGUGCCUAACACAUGCAAGUCGAACGGUCCCUCUUGGGGGAUAGUGGCGAACGGGUGAGUAACACGUAGGUGACCUGCCCUGUAGUGGGGAAUAACUGCCCGAAAGGGUGGCUAAUACCGCAUGAGUUCUGCUGCGCGGGCAGCAGAAGAAAGCCCUGUGGGGCGCUACAGGAGGGGCCUGCGGCGGAUUAGCCAGUUGGCGGGGUAAAGGCCCACCAAGGCGACGAUCCGUAGCUGGUCUGAGAGGACGGCCAGCCACACU